rnacentral:rRNA from 1 species
UUGCACGCUGGCGGCAUGCCUUACACAUGCAAGUCGCACGGCAGCACGGGUGCUUGCACCUGGUGGCGAGUGGCGAACGGGUGAGUAAUACAUCGGAACAUGUCCUGUAGUGGGGGAUAGCCCGGCGAAAGCCGGAUUAAUACCGCAUACGAUCUACGGAUGAAAGCGGGGGACCUUCGGGCCUCGCGCUAUAGGGUUGGCCGAUGGCUGAUUAGCUAGUUGGUGGGGUAAAGGCCUACCAAGGCGACGAUCAGUAGCUGGUCUGAGAGGACGACCAGCCACACUGGGACUGAGACACGGCCCAGACUCCUACGGGAGGCAGCAGUGGGGAAUUUUGGACAAUGGGCGAAAGCCUGAUCCAGCAAUGCCGCGUGUGUGAAGAAGGCCUUCGGGUUGUAAAGCACUUUUGUCCGGAAAGAAAUCCUUGGCCCUAAUACGGUCGGGGGAUGACGGUACCGGAAGAAUAAGCACCGGCUAACUACGUG